GGAGAGGUGGCCGAGUGGUCGAAGGCGGUUGAUUCGAAAUCAACUGUACCUUACGGGUACCGGGGGUUCGAAUCCCUCCCUCUCCGCCA
rnacentral:tRNA from 1 species